GGACAGAUGGCCGAGCGGUUGAAGGCAGCGGUCUUGAAAACCGCCAAGGGUGAAAGCCCUUCGUGGGUUCGAAUCCCACUCUGUCCGCCA
rnacentral:tRNA from 1 species